CCUUCGAUAGCUCAGCUGGAAGAGCGUGAGACUGUAAUGGCUACGUAUUGAUCUCAAGGUCACUGGUUCGAGCCCGGUUCGAAGGA